rnacentral:misc_RNA from 1 species
GCAGCGUGCCAGACACGGAAAAGUAUUGUGCAUCCAGCUGUGGCCUCCAUGGUGCAGAGGGGGCUCCGCUUCCGCUGAGUUUCGACGGGGCUGGCCCCGGAAAAGCAGCUGUGCAUGGGCUUUUCGUGUAUGGCGGAGCCUCGCGCGGCCUCACGUCCGUGGAGAUCACCAAGGAGUAGACCACCUACGAAUCGUAACUCAUGAGCUUCGAAGACCGGGGAGAAGGCGGAGGUUCUGCUACCCGCGUGAAGAUUGUGAGUGCGGAUGGCUCCAAUUAUUAUGCUGAGGAAGGGGGCGCCGGUGUCGGAGGAGUACAUCCAUCGCCUCGAGGGCCCCGCCCCCAGCGCCUGCCUCGAAGCGGUUCUCAACCGAUUGGUGGAAGUCACCCGCGCCCGCUGCCGGGAGACGAAGCGGAUGCGGACAUGGGACGCGCUGCGGCGGGUGUGGGAGGGCAUGGAUAUCGCCGCCUCUGAGGAGCUCCAUUGCGGGCUGAUAAACCCACGGAGGCGGACCCGCGGGCGCUCGUCCGCAUCCCCUCCUCCGCGUUCGACCGGUGGCAUGCACGCACGGCGUCGCCGCAGGGCGGAUACAGCGUUUACCAGCUCACUCUCGAAGUGCCAUCAAAGGCCGAGCGGAUGGAUGCACCGUAGGCCGCGGCCGAGCGCUAUGCAGACGGACGGCCUGCCCUCACGCUGGUGCGCGCGCUGCGGCGCCGUAUAGCACCGAACUCAGGGUACACCGAGGCUGUUGCCUCGUUCCAGGAGCUGGCGGCAGAGCUCCCGACCACUGCGGGCGUGCACCGCGAUCGCAGCGGUGAGCCGCGGAUGGGCACCGACAACGUGCCGAGUAGCUCCGUGGAGGCGGUGCAGCGCUGCCUGCAGCGUUUGUGCCAGCCCAUUGUCUUUUAUAGCUGCGACGCCGCUGCGCCCAUGACGUCAGCCGCCGGCAUCUCCCCGAGCUUCACGACGAUGCCGUCGACGCGAGCGCUCUUGGUGAAGCCGCACAGCCAGAGCAACUUUUACGCGAUAGACCAUGUCACCGCUGUGCACUUGCUGCAGGAGGCUGUGUGCGAGCGGGUCGUGUACAGUCGCUACGGCGUGCUCGGUGUGCGCAUCAUGAAGCUGCUGCUGCAGCACCACUUCCUUGAGGAGCGGACGCUGGCGGAGCAGCCCAUCGCAACGUACGUCAAGGUUCGCGAGGUGCUGCACCAGAUGUUCAAGGACGGCUUCCUGCUUCAGCAGGAGGUGCCGCGCACCUCUGCACUCGUCGAACGGUCCGCCAAGGCGAGUGUGUACCUCUGGGGGCUGAGCUGGAGCGCGACGCUGCUGCCUGUGGUGCGCGAGCGGCUCGCGAAAACGCUGACGAUUGCGUGGGCGAAGCUCCGUGAGGCGCAGCAGCAUUAACAGCAGUGCGGCUCACGCCGAGGAGAUCGAGGCGCAGUGGAAGUAUGGCAUGUCGCGCAACAUUCAGCAGGCACUGCAGGCCCAACGCGCUGUGACGGGGCUGCAGAGCUGCGUAAUGUCACUCAUGCGACUGCUGCUGAUCGUUGAUUUUUUUUAAAGGCGUGCGUCGCACAGCAGAGCGGCAGACGAACGCCGACGUGGUGGGCGUGGCGUCUCUCUCUCUGUACCGUUUUUUUGGUUGGCGUGCGCGCCAGCGGGACGGAGCGGUGCGGCCCGCACGCCGUCCGUCGCCGCUCUUCUGUCCGUCUUGUGCACCCGCGCGCGUGGUGUGUUGUGCGUAGGCGUGUCGCCCGCUCUGGAGGCUGCGUGAAGCGAUGAACAGAACGACUAACGAAACAUGCGAAGGUUGUCGCGCACCGCGCAUCUUACGUCCUGUCCUUCUUUCUCUCUCUGUGUGCUUUCCACCGCGUCUGUACGGCGGUGUUGCUCACUGAAGGCACCGCCUUCUCACAGGCGAAGGGGAGUGUGCGUGUGUGUGUGCUGAACCAAUGAAACACCGACAAGUGGGAGGCGGAGGGCGCAUCGGCGUUGCCACCACCAGUGGCGGUGUAUGCAGCCACGCAUGUGGAGGACGCAUAGGGUGGUGGAGUGGACGGACCCGCUCGCCGCUUCCCGCGCUUGUGAUGGCCUCGUGGUAUCUCAUCGUCGCCAUCGCUCUUCGCCCCUCUCGCUUUCUUCUCCUCUGUAACCGCUGCCGCCGCUCGGGCGCACCGCCAACGCUUUCGUAG